UUACAGAGUUAUAAACUCACCAACCCUUUUGUGAACCUAUCCAAUCGUUGCCUCGGCGCGAGCUCUUGGGCGAAGUUACCCUGUAGUUACCCUGUAGCUACCCUGUAGCGGUUACCCUGGAGCCCGCCGGUGGACAUACAAACUCUUGUUUUAAACAUAUUAUCUGAGCGUCUUAUUUUAAUAAGUCAAAACUUUCAACAACGGAUCUCUUGGUUCGGGCAUCGAUGAAGAACGCAGCGAAAUGCGAUAAGUAAUGUGAAUUGCAGAAUUCAGUGAAUCAUCGAAUCUUUGAACGCACAUUGCGCCCAUUAGUAUUCUAGUGGGCAUGCCUGUUCGAGCGUCAUUUCAACCCUUAAGCCUAGCUUAGUGUUGGGAGUCCACCGUUAAACGUGGUUCCCCAAAACCAGUGGCGGAGCGGCAGUUUGUCCUCUGAGCGUAGUAAUUCUUUUUAUCUCGCUUCUGUUAGGCGCUGUCACCCCAGCCGUUAAACCCCCAAUUUUUUAGUGGUUGACCUCGGAUCAGGUAGGAAUACCCGCUGAACUUAAGCAUAUCAAUAAGCGGAGGAAAAGAAACCAACAGGGAUUCCCCUAGUAACGGCGAGUGAAGCGGGAACAGCUCAAAUUUGAAAUCUGGCCUUCGGGUCCGAGUUGUAAUUUGUAGAGGAUGCUUUUGGUGCGGUGCCUUCCGAGUUCCCUGGAACGGGACGCCUUAGAGGGUGAGAGCCCCGUACGGUUGGACACCAAGCCUCUGUAAAGCU
rnacentral:rRNA from 1 species